UGGGAACGUACCCUUUGGUUCGGAACAACCCAGGGAAACUUGGGCUAAUACCGGAUAAGUCCGUAAGGAGAAAGAUUUAUCGCCAAAGGAUCGGCCCGCGUCUGAUUAGCUAGUUGGUAGGGUAAUGGCCUACCAAGGCUACGAUCAGUAGCUGGUCUGAGAGGAUGAUCAGCCACAUUGGGGCUGAGACACGGCCCAAACUCCUACGGGAGGCAG
rnacentral:rRNA from 1 species